GAUGGUAUAGCUCAGGGUAGAGUGCGUGCUUAGCAUGUACAAGGUCCUGGGUUCAAUCCCGGUAGCUCCG
rnacentral:tRNA from 1 species